CUGUCUGAGUGUUCCUGGUAAUGUUCUCCUGCUGUCUGUGUUCCUGGUAAUGUUCUCCUGCUGUCUGAGUGUUCCUGGUAAUGUUCUCCUGAUGUCUGAGUGUUCCUGGUAAUGUUCUCCUGCUGUCUGAGUGUUCCUGGUAAUGUUCUCCUGCUGUCUGAGUGUUCCUGGUAAUGUUCUCCUGCUGUCUGAGUGUUCCUGGUAAUGUUCUCCUGCUGUCUGAGUGUUCCUGGUAAUGUUCUCCUGCUGUCUGAGUGUUCCUGAGGACCAUUAAUCAGUUUGGAUCUAAACCAGAUGUCUCUCUGAUUUCUUUCAGAGUGUUCCUGAAGGCCAUUAAUCAAUUUGGAUCUAAACCAGAUGUCUCUCUGAUUUCUUUCAGAGUGUUCCUGAGGGCCAUUAAUCAGUUUGGAUCUAAACCAGAUGUCUCUCUGAUUUCUUUCAGAGUGUUCCUGAGGGCCAUUAAUCAGUUUGGAUCUAAACCAGAUGUCUCUCUGAUUUCUUUCAGAGUGUUCCUGAGGGCCAUUAAUCAGUAUGCAGCCGUGUUAAACAAGAAGUUCCUGGAUCAGACCAACUUUGAGCUUCAGCUGUGGAACAACUACUUCCACCUCGCCGUGGCAUAUCUUACCCAGGAGUCCUUGCAGCUUGAGAACUUCUCCAGCGACAAACGAUCCAAGAUCUUCCAGAAGUACCAGGACAUGAGGAGACAGAUCGGCUUUGAGAUCAGAGACAUGUGGUAUAAUCUAGGUAUGAAUCAUCUAUUUCGUGUUCU